GACGAACGCUGGCGGCGUGCCUAAUACAUGCAAGUCGAGCGGACUGAUUAAGAGCUUGCUCUUAUGACGUUAGCGGCGGACGGGUGAGUAACACGUGGGCAACCUGCCCUGUAGAUCGGGAUAACACCGAGAAAUCGGUGCUAAUACCGGGUAAUAUCUGAGAUCACAUGAUCUUAGGUUAAAAGAUGGCUCCGGCUAUCACUACAGGAUGGGCCCGCGGCGCAUUAGCUAGUUGGUAAGGUAAUGGCUUACCAAGGCGACGAUGCGUAGCCGACCUGAGAGGGUGAUCGGCCACACUGGGACUGAGACACGGCCCAGACUCCUACGGGAGGCAGCAGUAGGGAAUCUUCCGCAAUGGACGAAAGUCUGACGGAGCAACGCCGCGUGAGUGAUGAAGGGGUGCGGCUCGUAAAGCGCUGUUGUUAGGGAAGAAACAGUACCGAACGAACUAGGUCGGUACCUUGACGGUACCUAACCAGAAAGCCACGGCUAACUACGUG
rnacentral:rRNA from 1 species